UACGUAGGGGGCAAGCGUUGGUCCGGAUUUAUUGGGCGUAAAGAGCGUGUAGGCGGUCAGGUAGGUCCGUUGUGAAAACUCGAGGCUCAACCUCGAGACGCCGAUGGAAACCAUCUGACUAGAGUCCGGAAGAGGAGAGUGGAAUUCCUGGUGUAGCGGUGAAAUGCGCAGAUAUCAGGAAGAACACCCGUGGCGAAGGCGGCUCCUCUGGGACGGUACUGAC
rnacentral:rRNA from 1 species